AUACGGAGGAUCCGAGCGUUAUCCGGAUUUAUUGGGUUUAAAGGGAGCGUAGGUGGACAGUUAAGUCAGUUGUGAAAGUUUGCGGCUCAACCGUAAAAUUGCAGUUGAUACUGGCUGUCUUGAGUACAGUAGAGGUGGGCGGAAUUCGUGGUGUAGCGGUGAAAUGCUUAGAUAUCACGAAGAACUCCGAUUGCGAAGGCAGCUCACUGGACUGCAACUGACACUGAUGCUCGAAAGUGUGGGUAUCAAACAGGAUUAGAUUCCCUGGUAGUCCACACAGUAAACGAUGAAUACUCGCUGUUUGCGAUAUACAGUAAGCGGCCAAGCGAAAGCAUUAAGUAUUCCACCUGGGGAGUACGCCGGCAACGGUGAAACUCAAAUGAAUUGACGGGG
rnacentral:rRNA from 1 species